UCAAACUUGGUCAUUUAGAGGAAGUAAAAGUCGUAACAAGGUUUCCGUAGGUGAACCUGCGGAAGGAUCAUCUUUGAUAGGGGUCUAGCAGACCUUAGUUGUCCGUUCAUAGAAUGGGGCGACGAAAAUUUAGUGGGCAAAAGUAGACAGUGAUAUGGGAAGAACAGAACCUUUAAGAGGGGGAAGGGAACCCAGGAUAUUAGUAUAGAUAGAAUAGAAAAAUUGAGGUAUUUUUGAUAAAAAGUGACAACUUUCAACAAUGGAUCUCUAGGCUCUCGCAUCGAUGAAGAACGCAGC
rnacentral:misc_RNA from 1 species